rnacentral:rRNA from 1 species
CCUACGGGAGGCAGCAGUGGGGAAUAUUGCACAAUGGGGGAAACCCUGAUGCAGCGACGCCGCGUGAGUGAAGAAGUAAUUCGUUAUGUAAAGCUCUAUCAGCAGGGAAGAAAAUGACGGUACCUGAGUAAGAAGCCCCGGCUAACUACGUUCCAGCAGCCGCGGUAAUACGUAGGGGGCAAGCGUUAUCCGGAUUUACUGGGUGUAACGGGAGCGUAGACGGCAGUGCAAGUCUGGAGUGAAAGGCGGGGGCUCAACCCCCGGACUGCUCUGGAAACUGUACGGCUGGAGUGCAGGAGAGGUAAGUGGAAUUCCUAGUGUAGCGGUGAAAUGCGUAGAUAUUAGGAGGAACACCAGUGGCGAAGGCGGCUUACUGGACUGUAACUGACGUUGAGGCUCGAAAGCGUGGGGAGCAAACAGGAUUAGAUACCCCAGUAGUC